AAUAUUUUUAGUCAACAUUUUCUCUCUCCUUUCCCAAAACCCCAUAAAACAUUUUAACUCAUAUCAUUUCACUACUAUUCACAGAUUUCUCAUCUAAUCUUAUCUCAACAUUCAAAUGGGGCCUUAUUCGUCCAACAACCCAACAACACUACAACACUUAGAGGCAUCACCUAAUAUUGAUACCAAAAAGAUGGAGUAGCGAGGUCCAUUAUUUCCUAGCAACUUUAAAUGCAGUAAAUAAAUGAUCAAUUGAUUCCCCACUUUUCUUACACAUGCAACACCAAUUUAUUACUAAAAUUCCCCUUCUCAAUUUAUCCACACAAAGAAUGCCCCCUCGAUGGAGCUCUGUUCAGCUAAAUACCUUUCCAAGGAAAAGAUUGCCUAUGAAGCACAAUGUGUGAUAAGAAGUUUUGACCUCAAACUUCCUUCUUUUGGACAGGACCCACCACAUCCUAUCCUUUCCUUCACCUCUCAACCUAGUAGAGUACAAACGCCUGAAGAAUGAGAAAAACAGCACCCAUGCCUGAUCAUGUGCUGAUCAAAUAAGAGUACUAUUCCAUUGUCUAGUGGUGUUGGAAAGUUGCCAGGAGUCUGCCACUGAUGCCUCCUUAUCGUGGAAAGUCUGAACAACUUAUGGGAAAACAAUCUUUAAUUACUGAUCUCCACACCAAACAUCAUGUCAAAACCUUACGCUUGCCCCUGGUCCUACUUCUACUGUGAUUAAGUUCUAGAAAAUUCCCCAAUUCUUCCUUAUAUUUCUGCACACGCCAAUCUCAAAAGACCUGCUCACUUCUUAGAGUGCCACCCUCCCCAUGUGCUACCAUCAUAGACUUUCUUCAUUGAUCACAAUAAUGUCUUCCUUUCUGUAGCAAAGCACUGCAGCCAUUUUCCCAACAAGACACAGAUAUACACUAUAGCAAGUUUCUGACUCCUAAUCCCCAUUGUACAAAUCUUGGGCCAUCUUAGCUAGAUGAAACUUAGACUCAUUUCCAAUUCCUUUCUAUAUGAUUAGCCACUCCAACUAGUAUAGAGAAUAAGGACAUAUAGCAGUUGUGCAAAUUGGAAAAGUUGUUUUGAUCAAAGUUAGAACAACAGUCCAUCUUCUCUAUUACGUCAUUCCAAAUAGCUUUUGCCCUGAAUGUUGACAUGAACAGAAGUCCCAAUUAUUUCAUAGGUAAGCUCAUCACCCCACAUCCUAGAAUUCUAGCAAACCUUUUGAUGCCACCCACCUGCACUAAUUCAGAUUUAGCUAGAUUAAUCUUCGGAACUGAAAUACCCACCAGUUCACGCAUUUCCAUGGAAGUGUAUUUGGAGAAACAAAGCACCUUUGAGGGUAGUUUUUUUUUUUUUGGAACUUAAUGACGGAUAACAUGAGAAAAAAAAUGGCAUUUUGUUGUGAUGGAAUGGUGUUGCAUAUGCAAGCGAAAUGGGGAAAAUAUAGAUCAUCUUAUGUUGCAUUUUGAGUUGGCUAGGAGCUUAUUGACACAGGUAUUUUUCACUUUUGGGUUUGGAUGGGUUAUGCUCCAAUGCGUGGUGGAGAUGCUGGCGUGUUGGCAGAUUCCUUGCGGAGGUCAUAGUAAUUUAGAGGCCUGGAAAAUGGUCCCUUUGAGCAUAAUGUGGUGUCUUCAGCAACACAAUGCCUGAUUCUUUGAUGAUUGUGAAAGGACGGAGAAUUAAAAGCCAUCAUGUUCAACAAUCUCUAUGCUUGUUUAAAUGGUUUCACCAGGUACGGUGUAAGCAACUCAACAAGAUGUCUAUCGCUCACCAAAAACCCUAAUAGGAGUCCACUAUUCAGAGCAAUAUUUUUUAUUCUGCUCUAGGCCUCCCCUCCCUGCCUCAUGCCUUGUGAACUUUGAAAGAAACCGGAGCCUGAUCCAUUAAUUAGAACUAAAAAUUGCACCCACAAUAUACAAUUGGUAAUCCACCUGUACCAUUUCUCUCCAAAUGCUCAAAUCCAUAAUUAGUACUUUAAGAAGUCCUAAUUAACAUGAUCAUAUGCUUUUCUCCUCUGGGUCCGUAGGAGGUGGUGAGCGAGGGUGGACACCUGCAAACGGGAAGAGAGUCUUGUCAAAAACAACAUGACGAGAGUUAUAAACUUGGGUUGUGGAGGGAUCCAAGCAACGGUAGUCUGGGUGUUUAGGUAUUUUUAAAUAGAACUUAGAGAAGUAGAAUAUCACUUAGAUAAAGAAGAGUAAGAGUGGUGCUAACUUGAUUCAAGUGGGAUCUACGAUCGAAAAACCAUCGCCGAGUUCAGCCUACAAAAUACUCCUAAGCCCCAAAUUGAAGUCUACUAUCAAUGUACUUAUUGGCAAUAAGAACUGGGUAGGAUUUCUCUCCCCUGGAUGAAAGCAUAUGAGAGUGAUGAAGAUAGAAUUUUUUUUUAACUUCCUUGGAGUGUGGAACUCUUGGAAGACAUUAAUUAAAUCAACUUUGAGAAGCUCCCAACCCAUCUAUAAGAAUGUUGAUGAGCACCCCUCGGCCUCUGGUCCCAUAGCCUUAUCACCAUCCAAAACAUUCAAUUUUUUUGCUAGAUAACAGGGAGGGGGGUGGAACCCUGGUUCUCCCACCAAGAAACCAGGGCCAGUGCCAUCUAGUCCAAGGGCCAUUUGCACCAUCCAAAGCAUUCAACGCUUCUAAAACAUCAUUUUCCUCGAAGUCCCUUUCUUGGCCUCCUCCAUGGCAUUAGAAUCGAUUCAUGAAGCAAAUAUUUCAAUUAUGGUUCAUAUAAGUGAAUGACAAUAACAAUCGCCACACAGUGAAAUAGUGCUCAAAUAAUCUUUUUAUUUCGAAAUAACUUGAACUUUUGAAGACAACGUUUUGCAAGCAUGGCUCAAACUUUUCGUGAUGGUAGCAUAGUGUCUCUUUGCUUAUCUUGCCAAAUGAUGAAUUUAUAAAUUUCCAAAAAAAAAUGGAUUUACAAAUUCCUAAAAUCUCUUCACCUAAAACAAAAAGUUCCACAUGUACAAUUUAUCCUAUUUAGUAUACCCAAGGUAUAACUGAAGGGAAUCCCUAAAUCUUCAAUAGAAUCUUUAGCCCAACACAAUGCUUAGGUUCACUUAACUCCCUUGUCUUUUUUUAAUCAGUAAACAAGAGUUUUAUCGGUGAUAAUCAUGGGCAUAGCCCAAGUACACGGGACAUAUACAAGAGCGGCACCUAAGCAGGUUCACUUAACUCACUUCAUUUCAUUAGACUCAUUAAAGCUGGAUAGUGCAUCGGAAGAGCAAUAAAAUAUUCUUUAAUGAAAGUUCACUCCACACCUAGAUUGAUGUUUGCUCAAGUGGGUGAGUUGUAGAAAGUUUGCCUAGCUGUGAGCCGUCCGCUCAAGUGUGGUGAUUUUUAGAAUUUUAAUUGUUUCGAUUUUCAUACUUUUGAUCCAGUCCAUACAACAUAACCAUUUGAAAAUCCAUGCAUUUCAACUUUUAAGGAUGUCUUUCAUCAUUUAAAGAAGGCCAUAAUUAUUUCAUUAUUUUUCAAAAUAUCAAGAGUAAUCAGAGAAAUCUGAGAAUUCUAACCAAAAAAGGAAACCUUCUUUUUCUUCUCCUCUCUCUCUUUUCUCCUCUCUUCAAGAGAUGUUUUUAGAACAUACUUACUCUCUGUGAUACCCCAUAUUGACCGAUAGUAUAGGUGGUAUAUGGGAAUUUACAUUGCUUGGGAGGGAGAAGUUCUUGCUAUUUAUAAUGGUUCCAAUGGGAUUCCAAUUAUAAAAUCGACUACUCCUUUUGGAGUAUAGGCUAGAUGUGCCUUGGGCGGCACCCCUUGGGGCAUUACACACUCUCUCUAGGCAAACCAAAAGUUUUUCUCUUAGCAAAGAGUAACUCUAGUGAUUGUGAAAAUAAUGAAUAGGGAAGCCCAAUUAUUUAUAGGAAAAUUGAGUGGGUUACUAUUCACUUUAGAACAAAUUCUCUCCCUUCUUUGCCACAUGUCACUCUUCUACUAGGUCAAAAGUAAGAUAUGCAAUUGUUGUUAAAAGUCUUCCUUCUCUCUCCUCAAGUUCAUUAGAUGCAUUUAUAGCCCUUGGAUUUGUGCUUCAUGUUGGACACAUUUGAUCCACACCAUUGACUCAGAUUCAACUAGAUUCACUCAACCAUGAGUUUGAUAUAACCAACUUAACUAACUUGUCCUUUGUCCACAACUCUUCAAUCACAUUCAGCUCAUUACCUGAAUAGAAGCUACAAUUAUUUCUAGCCAUUGGAUCACUAUUAAUCAAUCUCAACAUUGGGUUCUUAAGAUUAGCCUUAAAAGCAAUUGUAUGACACUCUAGGGUUAGGACACGUCAUUGAUUUUUUAAUGUCCAGAAAACACAUAAGAAUCAUAAUUAAAGAGAUUGGACUAAUAUAAAAUUAUCAAAAUUUCUCAAAGUCACUAAAGCUACUCAAACGAUUUCCACAUUUUUCCAGCCUUUCCUAGAUUUCCAGAUCUUCUCCAGAAUUUUCUUCUGAUUCCUCGGCAAUCUCACUUGACCACCAUGCUUAGUUUGCUUGAGCAAACUUUUGGGACUAAUAUUUUUUUUUCUAUAUUUUUAUUUCUAGAUUCCUUCCGACAUUUAUUUACAUGAUCUUAGACCUGCAUAAUCCUAAAGUUUGGUAAUUUGUUUCUAAUAAAAUCCUUAAUUACCUUGGUCUUCCCUUGGGCCAACUGCAAGGUCUAUAUCAAUUUAGGAUACAGUUAUUGAGAAGAUUGAACACAGACUGGCAGGUUGGAAAAGAUUGUGUCUUUCAAAAGGUGGUAGGAUCACUCUAAUCAAAAGUGCUCUUUGUAAUCUACCAACUUACUUUUUGUUUGUAUUCCCAAUUCUAGCAAGUGUGGCAAAACACAUCGAGAAACUUUAUCGUGAUUUUCUGUGGAGAGGGUUAGGAGAUGAAUUCAAGUUUCACCUAGUCAAGUGGGAUAAGGUUUGCUCUCCAAUCUCUUCUGGUGGGUUGGGUAUUAGAAAGUUGAAGAUUUUCAAUCAAGCUUUACUUGGGAAGUGGAUGUGGAGAUACAUCAUGGAACUGGAGGCCUUAUGGAAGUCGGUGAUUGAACUUAAAUAUGAAGGUAUGCUGGGGGGAUGGUGUACUAGAGAAGUUUAUGGGGCUUAUGCAGUUGGAAUUUGGAAACACAUUAGAGGGUGGGGGAUUUUUGUUAGGCACACUUGGUUGGUGUUGGGUAAUGGGUCUAGAAUAAAAUUUUGGACUUACCAGUGGUGAGGAGGUCAUGCUUUAAAGGAUUCUUUCCCUUCAAUUUUUAGAAUUGCAUGUGAGUUGCAUCAACGGCUAAUUGUAUGGAGUUCUCUGGGGACCUAGUCCAAUGGAACAUGAAUUUCACCUGGGCGGCCCAAGAUUGGGAAGUUGGCAGCAUUGAGUACUUUUUUGGUUGUCUAUACACCAUGAUACCGAGAACACAAGGCGCUGACACGAUAAGGUGGAUACCCACCGGUAGAGGUGGCAACAUUGGGUAAGAUCUUGACUUUGGACAACUUACGGAAAUGAAGGGUGAUCAUAGAAGAGUGGUGUUGCAUUUGUAGGAAAAAUGGUGAAACUGUGGAUCAUUUGCUGUUGCAUUGUGAGGUCGCUAGAACAUUAUGCAAUGAAGUGUUCAACAGGUUAGAUCUUGCUUGGGUGAUGCCUACCACAGUGAUUGAGCUCAUGGUCAGUUGGACCAAUCUACGAGGUCUCCUACAAAUAUCAGCGGUGUGGAAAAUGGUUCCGAUAUGUAUUCUGUUGUGCCUAAGGAAGGAGCGAAAUAACCGGAUGUUUUCGUGGCCUCAAUUUUCUUGAUUUUCUAGUUUCUAUUUCCUCUUCCUAAAUAGGUGUUACCUUUUGUGUACCAUCUUGUGUACUUAGGCUAUGCCUAUUCAUAUCAAUAUAAUCGUUUACUUAUCAAAAAAAUAAAAUCCAUCAUACUUAUAAAAAAACAAGUGAGAUAAAAUCCUAAUACUUGGUUUCUUUGUAUUAGACUAUAUCUUCCUCUAAUAUUACAAAUGACACUCCAGCCAUUCUCAUCAAACUCAGCCCCUCUGCCCAUGUCUUAGACCCAAAAAGGAAGCCUGUCUUUCCAAUAUGGAUUCCACGCUAAUCACAUAUGUCCAAAAGAAGAGAGGUCCACUCCCACUGCAAGCAUCCUUCCCACCAACAAAAAGACUCUUCAUAUCAGACUCUUAGGAUUAGUGCUUCAUAGGCCGUAGUUGUUAGCUCUAUUCCAUUGCCAAGUACCGAGCUCCUACAUGAAACUUGUCUCUCUUGUGUGACUCAAGCUCGACUUUAGAGGAGGAGAUGAUAAAGGAGAAAUGUCCAGGUUCAUCCCUUACCCAGUUUUUUGCCAUUAUACAACCACUAAUUCAAUUAACAAGGUAGCAAAGUCUCAGAAAGAUCCCCAUCAGGAGCAAAAACCGUGAUCCUCUUCUUGCUCGAAACCUUGUUAGUAGAGAGCAGUACUCACUGGUGUACAAAAUCGUAGAGGACUUUUUGCUUGGCAUCACGUGUGUUUCCACUCCUUUCGUGUAGUGUGAUCCUCCUUGCAAUUGCAGCCCAUGGUUAUCAUCCUUAGUUUACAAUCCUUUUCUUAUAGGAUCCUUAAUAUACGAUCCUACCAAACAGAUCAUAAGGAAACUUUCUAGACAAAUCUUGCAUCCAUCAAAAGUUCUUUUGGAGGCCCCUGGCUGUGUAUCAGGACAACACUAGUGGUCAGCCAGUUGUUUCAUCAUCUAAAUGGGAUUAAAAUAUGCUUUUGAAUUGGCAUGGCUUAAUCAACCUUGGCUAUGUUGGCAUUUCAUGGGCUUGAUCAAAUAAGCAGGGUUAGCGAAUAUUCAAGGAAGAUUUGACCGAGGAAAUAGCAAAUCAAGAGUGGAAGAUGCUAUUUUCAGCCUCAGCGACUGAUCGCAUUCAUCUCCUUACCACAAGCGGUUUGGAUAUAACUCAACCCAAGCCCUUUAAAUUUGAACGGUUUCAGACGUGCUAGCUGCUUAGCCUGCUUAUAAAAGGAUUUUAGCAGCUGCUUGGAGCACUCAUGGGGAGCAAUCCCCAGCUUCUCUCAUAUACAGAAAACAGAAGACAGUAAAAUAUGCAUUGAAAAAUGGAACUGAGAUUAUUUUGUGAUAGUACAGGUAAAUAUCCAAAACUUGGAAGUGGCUAAUGCACAUGUAAAAAUCUCCUUACAACAUAUGAAAACAUUGCAAUUGGAAAACAGCUCAUUACCAACCUCUACGAACAGUUCAUAAGAAGAAUUUUGCAUAGAGAAUCAAGGGUAUAUUGGCUUACAACUAAAACUUGAAACUCAAAUUUUUCCCCUAUUAACAGUCAUCUGGUGUCGAAGAAAUUCCAUAGAUUCUCUGAAAACCAAGCAAGAUAUAUGGACUGAUGAUAGCAUUCCCCUUCAUCAACAUUUCCUUGAUCACUUCCGUAAAAUAUACUACUUGACAAACUUGGUUUUAACGGAUAAUAGUAGAUAGCUCAUUCCCUCAAACUCUUAUUAAUUAUGAAAAUGUAUUUCUUUGUAUCGUACCAUCUGACACUGAAAUCUUUAACCCCUGACACAAACUGCCUCCACAAAAGUGCCUGUCUUGAUGGGUUCAGUCUUGUUUCAUGAGUGGUAUUGUGAGGUUGUUAAGAAGUAGUGAUUGAUAUCAUUUUUUCAUUUUUUUUUUUUUUUCGUCCAGAAGGAAAACUCCUAGACUUAAAUAUAUAGCCUUUGUUCUAGAAAUUGAAAACCCAACCUCAGUGCAUCAUGACAAGCCCAUUAGCAAGUUAAUUUUCAAAAUAAUGUCUAGCAGGCUCAAGUGAAUUUGAUAGCCCAUGAGCUAUUUCAUCCUUUUUUUAUCAAAUGGAGUGGUCUUUACUCCAAGCUCCUCUUAGUUCGAAAUGGAUUGCCAGGGUUCAUCAUAUCUGGAUCCUGCAAAGAAACUCAGCAUUGAUCCCAAUGAGUAGUACCAAUUUCUCCUCUAUGCAACCAUGUGACCACCCAAGGGGUACUGCAAUAAUUCUUAUCCUUUGCACUCUUUCUUCAAAAAAAAAAAAAACUGUGUACGAGAUUUUUCUCUCAGACGUUUAUUUUUUUCAACUUUUCUCAUCAUUUCCCCAACGUCCUCUGUGUCUGCCAAUUAUUUUUUAAAAUUUCCAAAGAAUGGUACUGCUAGAAAAUCAAAGAAAUGCAUAUUUAUGCAAUUGUGAAUGCUAUGAAAUCACUGGAAUGCAAUUGUUGAUAUUUUGAAGCCACUUAUGGUUCUCUCGUACAAACAUUUAUGAUCUCCAUUGAAGAACAGACAGCACAAUGAGAUCAGAAUUGUCUUUACUGGUGGCGCCCCCCCCCCCCCCCCCCC